rnacentral:tRNA from 1 species
GGUAGCGUGGUAGAGCGGCCCAAGGCGCUGGUUUAAGGCACCAGUCUCUUCGGAGGCGUGGGUUCGAAUCCCACCGCUGCCA